AUGAUCUGUUUGGUUGAAGCGGAUUGGUUCCGUCUUUGGAAACCAGCCGGAGCCGGUACGGGCGAUGUAAUCGGAAAUCGCGAACCAAAGACGUCUAGAUGGAGUAAGUUCCUGACGGACACGGACGGACCAGGUCGCCAUAUAAUCAGAUCCAGACGUUUCUUCUUUCUCCCCCCAAAAAGAGAUCGUUAUCCAGAGUGCCAGACGCGCUCCGCAGCAGACAUCGAAGAACCCUACUUCAUGGCCACGACGCAGCAGCAGCCGUGGUUGGUACAAUUCAACGGGACAAGCAAACCCAUCUUCGUCGCGCCGUUCGACGGAUGUCGCCGCUGGGACGAGGCGCCGGACAUGCCGGUGUUGCAAGGAAAACGAUGCCUCGGCCGGGACGGAGACUGGUCGCUCAUGCUCGACGACCGCACCAACGAGUGCUCCCUCGUGAACUUCGCUGAUACGUCGUCGGAACCCAUCGUGAUCGCUCUCCCGCCGUUGCCUGACGAGCCAAAGCUGCAUCUACAGUUCGGCUGCGCGCUCUCGGGGCAAACCCCGCCCGACUGCACCGUCCUGCUCGACUUCGUCGGGGAGACGUUCCUCCUCCACUGCCGCCCCGGUGACCCCGAGUGGUCCCGUCUUCCUGUGGAGCUCGUCGAUGAGAAUGAUUGGUUCGACGGCCCUAUAACCCGUGGCUACCAGGGGAAGAUGUACGCGACGACCAUGUUAUCCUUUGUGGCCGUGGACGCAUCCAACUUGGCGCCGGUGGUCGAGAGGGCGGACAUGACGCCCCCACCCCCGUGCCCAGUCCAUACUGCGUACAAGUGCUACCCGGUGCCGUGUCCCGAUGGCGAGCUCUUCUCGGUGCGCUGCUGCAUCUUUGGGUGCCCGCAGGCCGUGGUGGAUGUGAAGGUUUUUCGAUGGAACGAUGAAGAAAAUGCGUGGGAGACUGUCGAAACCAUCGGGGACAAAACGUUCUUUGUAGGCAGGUUUAAUUUUGUGGUCCUGUCGGCGGCUGAAGCAGGAACCCAACCUAACUGCAUCCAUGUGCUGCGUGAAGUUUGCGGUGAAUUUGGAAUCUACACCGUGUCUCUGGAUGAUGCGACCAUUUGGCUCAGUAUAGUCGAGGGAUGCGACGAUGAUGACGAUGAUGGUGAGGACCAGGUUUUCUGGGCUCUUCCCACUAGCUUUGGUCUGGAAGCAGCACGAACUAUCCAAACUUCUGAUAAUGUCUCCAACGAAGUGACGCAUACAAGAAUUGAACAUUGCUGCGGAGAGCAAGAAAAAGAAGACAUGACGAUGAGCACUGUGAGGCGGUGGUGUGAUCUCCAUACUGACUUGUUGCAGUUACUAGUACCUAAGAUUUCAUUCAUCGAUUUACUACACCUGAAAGCUGUCUGCAAGCAGUGGAACUCCAUUAAGAGCCCGAUCCAGCAUGCAAAAGUGUCGCCAUUGCUGAUGACAACUCGGCCAGCAAGAAGGACCAAGGAGGACCUUAUCGAGAUCUUCGAUCCAGUCGGCGAGAAGAAGUAUAGUAUCAGGGUAAAUAUCCCUACUUCGGGUCUCAAAUCUCAAGGGUCGCAGUUACUGCAUUUCACAAAGAACGGUUGGGUCAUCGUGUCGAGAGGCGGCGACCGCAUGUUCUUCCUAGUGAAUCCGUUCAAGAACUACCCUAAUGGUGGCCAUGUGAUCGCUCUUCCACCUUUGGAUGUCACUGGUCUCAAAGGAUUGUCCUUUUCUUCGGUGCCGGGUUCUCCGGAUUUUGUGGUUCUUGCCGCAGGAUCUACCCCAAGCAGCAAAGUUGUCAUGAUAAAGACAUGGCGAAUGGGAGAUGAAGAGUGGAAGGAAGAAUUCCUAAGCGACGAUGACGCGCCGUUCUUCAUGGCAUCACACAGCCCUGUCUUCCUAGACGGAGUAUUCUAUUUUCUAGACAUCAAUGGAAGGCUUGGAGUCAUAGACCCGAAUGAGGACGAGAUGGAGUUUAGCGUCCUGAAAAAGCCGGAUCAACCGAUACGUGGGAGCGCUGACGUGCAUCUUGAGGAAUGGGACUACAACUAUCUGGUGGAGUGGAAGGGGGAGCUAAUCGCCAUUUUCAGGGAGAAUGGUGAUGCAUCAGUCCGAAUGUUCAAGCUAGAAAGGUCUCAGAUGGUUUGGUUGGAGUUGCAAGAGAUGGAGGACGCGGCUGUGUUCUGGGAUAGGAGCAAUGCUCUGAUUGUCGUGUCACCCCCCGAAGAAGAUUUGUGCAACAAGAUGUUCCUACCAAACUAUAAUGAGACCAAUGGCGGUGGCAGGCUGCACACGUUCUACUCAUUUCGGGAGCAAUGCUAUUGCCCUUCCUUCUGUGCCAAGGAGCCCAUGAAUGCCAUAUGGUUCCAGCUAGACUUGGACGUACUUACGGCGACUGAUCAGUAG
rnacentral:rRNA from 1 species